rnacentral:rRNA from 1 species
GGCGGCGUGCUUAACACAUGCAAGUCGAACGGUGAAGCCAAGCUUGCUUGGUGGAUCAGUGGCGAACGGGUGAGUAACACGUGAGCAACCUGCCCUGGACUCUGGGAUAAGCGCUGGAAACGGCGUCUAAUACUGGAUAUGAGGCGUGGCCGCAUGGUCAUGUUUGGAAAGAAUUUCGGUCUGGGAUGGGCUCGCGGCCUAUCAGCUUGUUGGUGAGGUAAUGGCUCACCAAGGCGUCGACGGGUAGCCGGCCUGAGAGGGUGACCGGCCACACUGGGACUGAGACACGGCCCAGACUCCUACGGGAGGCAGCAGUGGGGAAUAUUGCACAAUGGGCGGAAGCCUGAUGCAGCAACGCCGCGUGAGGGAUGACGGCCUUCGGGUUGUAAACCUCUUUUAGCAGGGAAGAAGCGAAAGUGACGGUACCUGCAGAAAAAGCGCCGGCUAACUACGUGCCAGCAGCCGCGGUAAUACGUAGGGCGCAAGCGUUAUCCGGAAUUAUUGGGCGUAAAGAGCUCGUAGGCGGUUUGUCGCGUCUGCUGUGAAAUCCCGAGGCUCAACCUCGGGCCUGCAGUGGGUACGGGCAGACUAGAGUGCGGUAGGGGAGAUUGGAAUUCCUGGUGUAGCGGUGGAAUGCGCAGAUAUCAGGAGGAACACCGAUGGCGAAGGCAGAUCUCUGGGCCGUAACUGACGCUGAGGAGCGAAAGGGUGGGGAGCAAACAGGCUUAGAUACCCUGGUAGUCCACCCCGUAAACGUUGGGAACUAGUUGUGGGGACCAUUCCACGGUUUCCGUGACGCAGCUAACGCAUUAA